rnacentral:rRNA from 1 species
AAAUUGAAGAGUUUGAUCAUGGCUCAGAUUGAACGCUGGCGGCAGGCCUAACACAUGCAAGUCGAACGGUAACAGGAAUCAGCUUGCUGAUUCGCUGACGAGUGGCGGACGGGUGAGUAAUGUCUGGGAAACUGCCUGAUGGAGGGGGAUAACUACUGGAAACGGUAGCUAAUACCGCAUAACGUCGCAAGACCAAAGAGGGGGACCUUCGGGCCUCUUGCCAUCGGAUGUGCCCAGAUGGGAUUAGCUAGUAGGUGGGGUAACGGCUCACCUAGGCGACGAUCCCUAGCUGGUCUGAGAGGAUGACCAGCCACACUGGAACUGAGACACGGUCCAGACUCCUACGGGAGGCAGCAGUGGGGAAUAUUGCACAAUGGGCGAAAGCCUGAUGCAGCCAUGCCGCGUGUAUGAAGAAGGCCUUCGGGUUGUAAAGUACUUUCAGCGGGGAGGAAGGGAGUAAAGUUAAUACCUUUGCUCAUUGACGUUACCCGCAGAAGAAGCACCGGCUAACUCCGUGCCAGCAGCCGCGGUAAUACGGAGGGUGCAAGCGUUAAUCGGAAUUACUGGGCGUAAAGCGCACGCAGGCGGUUUGUUAAGUCAGAUGUGAAAUCCCCGGGCUCAACCUGGGAACUGCAUCUGAUACUGGCAAGCUUGAGUCUCGUAGAGGGGGGUAGAAUUCCAGGUGUAGCGGUGAAAUGCGUAGAGAUCUGGAGGAAUACCGGUGGCGAAGGCGGCCCCCUGGACGAAGACUGACGCUCAGGUGCGAAAGCGUGGGGAGCAAACAGGAUUAGAUACCCUGGUAGUCCACGCCGUAAACGAUGUCGACUUGGAGGUUGUGCCCUUGAGGCGUGGCUUCCGGAGCUAACGCGUUAAGUCGACCGCCUGGGGAGUACGGCCGCAAGGUUAAAACUCAAAUGAAUUGACGGGGGCCCGCACAAGCGGUGGAGCAUGUGGUUUAAUUCGAUGCAACGCGAAGAACCUUACCUGGUCUUGACAUCCACGGAAGUUUUCAGAGAUGAGAAUGUGCCUUCGGGAACCGUGAGACAGGUGCUGCAUGGCUGUCGUCAGCUCGUGUUGUGAAAUGUUGGGUUAAGUCCCGCAACGAGCGCAACCCUUAUCCUUUGUUGCCAGCGGUCCGGCCGGGAACUCAAAGGAGACUGCCAGUGAUAAACUGGAGGAAGGUGGGGAUGACGUCAAGUCAUCAUGGCCCUUACGACCAGGGCUACACACGUGCUACAAUGGCGCAUACAAAGAGAAGCGACCUCGCGAGAGCAAGCGGACCUCAUAAAGUGCGUCGUAGUCCGGAUUGGAGUCUGCAACUCGACUCCAUGAAGUCGGAAUCGCUAGUAAUCGUGGAUCAGAAUGCCACGGUGAAUACGUUCCCGGGCCUUGUACACACCGCCCGUCACACCAUGGGAGUGGGUUGCAAAAGAAGUAGGUAGCUUAACCUUCGGGAGGGCGCUUACCACUUUGUGAUUCAUGACUGGGGUGAAGUCGUAACAAGGUAACCGUAGGGGAACCUGCGGUUGGAUCACCUCCUUACCUUAAAGAA